GACGAACGCUGGCGGCGUGCUUAACACAUGCAAGUCGAACGGAAAGGCCCUGCUUUUGUUGGGUGCUCGAGUGGCGAACGGGUGAGUAACACGUGAGUAACCUGCCCUUGACUUUGGGAUAACUUCAGGAAACUGGGGCUAAUAUCGGAUAGGAGCUCCUGCUGCAUGGUGGGGGUUGGAAAGUUUCGGCGGUUGGGGAUGGACUCGCGGCUUAUCAGCUUGUUUGUGGGGUAGUGGCUUACCAAGGCUUUGACGGGUAGCCGGCCUGAGAGGGUGACCGGCCACAUGGGGACUGCGAUACGGCCCAGAAUCCUACGGGAGGCAGCAGUGGGGAAUAUUGCAGAAUGGGCGGAAGCCUGAUGCAGCAACGCCGCGUGCGGGAUGACGGCCUUCGGGUUGUAAACCGCUUUCGCCUGUGACGAAGCGUGAGUGACGGUAAUGGGUAAAGAAGCACCGGCUAACUACGUG
rnacentral:rRNA from 1 species